CUCACUCUCUGAGAAGGCUUCUCUGGAGAGUUGAGCUUCCUGCCAGCAGACACUGGGGUCUUAACCAGCCCUCAUUUGUAUUCCAGAGAGAUCUCUCAUGUCUGAGCCCUCAGCCCAAAGCCUCCAGGAGUACAAGAGGCCAGCCCCUAGGAAGAGGGGGGCGAACCUACUGAGAACCGGCAUGAGAUUUCCCACCUUCUCAUCCCCUUGCCUUAACCAUGAGGAACUGUGCCAGCACCUGAAGGUCCUGAAGACCCAAGAGAGCCUCAGCCAGCUAGCAGGAAGAGCCUUGAACACCACGCUCUCCGCCAGCCACCAGAGGUUGCCAAGUCUAUCGUACAGAAGCAAGCUGCACUCCCUGCCUGAGCCCAGACCCACAGGGUGGGUCUCCUGCCUCAGGGCUCCCACAGGGUGACUGAACAGCUCGCUGUUGGUACCCGAUGGAGAACUAAGGAACCAAUAAAUGGGGUCGGGGCGGGAAUUCCCUGCUGUAUCCUUGGGAUGAUGUAACAAGUAGUGUUUUAUCCUGUCCUGGCAGCUGAGAAGGGAAACACAAAUACAGCACACUUGGGGCUGAGCA
rnacentral:lncRNA from 1 species